GACACCACAGUACAUCAACAUUGGGAGGGGAGAUCAAGGAGGCCUUCUUGGAGGAGUUAAUGCCCGAGAUGUGAGCCAUUAAAGGAAAAGCAAAAGUGAGCACCCGAGAUGCCCUGCAGAAGGAAAAGUGAGCAGGGAGAAGUCCAAAAGUGAGCAACUCAAGUCCAGUGCCUGGAGAGAGAUCCAGAUGUAGGGCUCUCAGCUACCCCUCCAGCUCCAUGUCUGCCUGCAUGCUGCCAUGCUUCACACUGUGUCAAUAAUGGACCAUACUUCUGAACUUGUAUGGCAGACAGGGAGAAACAGAUUUGCUCUUAUUAAGUGAAGUACAAGCGAGGAGCUGGAGAGAUGGCUCAGCAGGUAAGGCGGCUUGCACCUGACCUUGACCCUUGACGCUUGGAGCCCACGUGUUCCAACUAACACAAGUUUCCCUCUGCUCUUCACAUGUGUGCCAUGGUGUAUAAACCCCACCACACACACACACACAC